rnacentral:rRNA from 1 species
UACGUAGGGCGCGAGCGUUUGUCCGGAAUUAUUGGGCGUAAAGGGUGCGUAGGCGGUUUGGUAAGUCUUAUGUGAAAUCUACAGGCUCAACUUGUAGUCUGCAUGAGAAACUGCCGGGCUUGAGUAUGGGAGAGGUGAGUGGAAUUCCUGGUGUAGCGGUGAAAUGCGUAGAUAUCGGAAGGAACACCUGUGGCGAAAGCGGCUCACUGGACCAUUACUGACGCUGAUGCACGAAAGCUAGGGGAGCAAACAGG